UACGUAGGUGGCAAGCGUUAUCCGGAUUUAUUGGGCGUAAAGGGAACGCAGGCGGUCUUUUAAGUCUUAUGUGAAAGCCUUCGGCUUAACCGGAGUAGUGCAUUGGAAACUGGGAGACUUGAGUGCAGAAGAGGAGAGUGGAACUCCAUGUGUAGCGGUGAAAUGCGUAGAUAUAUGGAAGAACACCAGUGGCGAAAGCGGCUCUCUGGUCUGUAACUGACGCUGAGGUUCGAAAGCGUGGGUAGCAAACAGG
rnacentral:rRNA from 1 species